rnacentral:rRNA from 1 species
CAAUAGCGUAUAUUAAAGUUGUUGCGGUAAAAAAGCUCGUAGUUGGAUUUCUGUUGAGAGCGACCGGUCCAUACCAUGUAUGCGUAUCUGGCUUGCUCUCGGCAUCCUCUCGAUAGACGUUACUGCGCUUGAUUGCGUGGUGCGGAUCUCGGGACUUUUACUUUGAGGAAAUUAGAGUGUUCACGGCAGGCUUUCGCCAGAAUACAUCAGCAUGGAAUAAUACUAUAGGAUCUUGGUUCUAUUUUGUUGGUUUCUAGAAUUGAGAUAAUGAUUAAUAGGGACAAUUGGGGGCAUUCGUAUCAACACGUCAGAGGUGGAAUUCUUGGAUUGUGUUGCGACGAACUACUGCGAAAGCAUUUGCCAAGGAUGUUUUCAUUGA